UACGAAGGGGGCUAGCGUUGCUCGGAAUCACUGGGCGUAAAGGGUGCGUAGGCGGGUCUUAAGUCAGGGGUGAAAUCCUGGAGCUCAACUCCAGAACUGCCUUUGAUACUGAGGAUCUUGAGUUCGGGAGAGGUGAGUGGAACUGCGAGUGUAGAGGUGAAAUUCGUAGAUAUUCGCAAGAACACCAGUGGCGAAGGCGGCUCACUGGCCCGAUACUGACGCUGAGGCACGAAAGCGUGGGGAGCAAACA
rnacentral:rRNA from 1 species